rnacentral:lncRNA from 1 species
GGUACCUGUAAAAUGGUUCAGCCAUUAAUGAUGCCUGCCACCAAGCCUGAUAACCUGAGUUCAGUACCCCAAACCCACGUGAUGGAAGGCAAGAAUGGACUCCUGUAAGUUGGCCUUUGGCUUCUACUCACAUGUUGUGGCAUGCACACCUACGCACAUAAACACACACACAUUCUUUUAUUUUAAAGAAUUUAGGUCAGGGCUGGGAAGACAGCUUGGUCAGUAAAUCUGAGUUGGAUCCCCAGAACCCACAUUUUUUUUUAAAAAAAAAGCCAAGGAUGGUGGCAGAAAGAGACAGAUCCCUGGAGCUUACUAGCCAACUAGCCCAGCCUACUUGGCAAGCUUCACACACUAUCUCAAAAUAAAGUGGAUGUAUUCUGAGGAAGGGCACCCAAAGUUGUCUUCUAAAUUUUACUUGUACCCAUAUGUGCAGAUGUACACACACACACACACACACACACACACACACACACACACACACACGAUAUAAAAAUUAAGGCAAAUGGCUAGUAAAGGUUAUAAAACAAGACAAUUUUGACUCUCUUUUCACAAAAUUCCAUCUCUCCACCCCAGGUUGUUCUGUUCAGCCUAAUCAAGCUGUCUGAAGAAUCUAAUACAGACGCAGCAUCUUCAGAAAACUUCAGUUCACAAUGCUGACGGUGGAGCAAAGACCAACACUGCGGUCCUGCGGUAUCUCCAGUAAAAAGACAAAAAGCCACUGCCUAUGUGAGAUCAGGAGGAGGCAGGUCAUCCAUUCUAAUUUUUGUGAGUAAACUCCUAAAUUGCUUUGGCCGAAACCAUCCUUCUGAUAGAAACCCUAGCUCCUUGUGGGACUGGGCAAAUCCACCUAAACCAAGAGCCUGGAGUGAAGGAGGGGAGGUCACAGUUCGCUCAUUCUGCUGACGCUCAGUGGAAUGACGUCACCCCAAGGGCAGGCUCCGACAAAGUCGGGAUGCAGACACAUUCGUGCUUCCGGGCCCCAGGCACAAAGUGCGCCCCGGCAAUGGAGGGACAGUUGGCCUCGAAUACCCAUCUCUGGCCUGUAACUUAAUUUAGAGAGUUUCAAAGGUUUCUUAUCACGGGUACGUGGGGCAGGCAAAAAGCCCCGGGAACAUCUGAUUGCAGAAGACAAGCCGUCAAGGAUACUUGGAUCUGUGGAAUGUUAAGCCACCGUGUAACUGUGAGUCUCUGCUGGAGAACAACUGCUGGGAGAGGCUGGAAGCCCUCCCUGCUGCUCUCAGAUUAGCACCUUUUGCCAUUUAGGAAAUUAGUGUUUGACAGGCAUACAGGAGUCUAGAGCUUGAGGCUGACCUCCAAAGAAAAGGUACAAAGGUUUCCGCUCCCUACCUGUCAAAGGAUGGAUCGAGGAACAAAGAAGUCUGUCAGGCCUGGAAUGGGACAGGAUCUGCCAUCGCACAAGACCCCUGAAACACUUUUCUAUUUCAGACCGGGAGAGCUUUAAACCCUUAUUUUCUUCAGCAUGGAUUUGAAUUAAAAACUUUGUUAGGUUUGA